GACGAACCGUGCGAACGUUAUUCGGAAUCACUGGGCUUAAAGCGCGUGUAGGCGGGAGGGCACGUCCGUCGCUGAAAUCCCCCGGCUCAACCGGGGAACGGGCGCGGAUACGACCUUCCUGGAGGGGCGUAGGGGGACCUGGAACUUCCGGUGGAGCGGUGAAAUGCGCAGAUAUCGGGAAGAACACCCGUGGCGAAGGCGGCUCUCUGGCCCGAUACUGACGCUGAGGCACGAAAGCGUGGGGAGCAAACAGG
rnacentral:rRNA from 1 species